GCUCUUGUAGCUCAGAUGGCCAGAGCACUCCCUUGGUAAGGGAGAGGUCAUGGGUUCAAUUCCCAUCAAGAGCUCCA
rnacentral:tRNA from 1 species